UUCAUUUAAUUAAAUAACCUGUGGUUUUGCUGCAUUGUAAACCCUUCAGAGGAGGCCUCUGAAACAGUUUUUUAAAGAGGAGAAAAGCUUUUAUUUGAAAAUAGAUAUACAUGUAGUUGACAGAAAUUUGAGUUGUGCUACGUUUUACACGUUAACUAUGUAUCCCAAUCUAGUAUCUGUAUUUUGUAACCAAAUUUGGUGACAUCACCAAAGAAGAACAAAGGAAUGUGUUGAAAACAGUAUAAAUAGAUAUUGCUUUGGAAACUAAAAUAAUUGAUGGGUGUUUUAACUUAUGUAGUCUUUCUGACCUUUGUAGGUAAACAACAAAUAAAGAAUAGUCAAAAUUAGUAAGUCUGUGAGUUCUUUAAGCUAGGCGCUAGUUCUGCUGCUCUUCCUUGUCUUUAAAUGUCAGCAAAGAAAGGUGUUUUAAAACUUGAAGAUCUUAUAAAUAAAGCCAAAUAUUCAAAACUGAGUUGAUUUGAAUCCUCAUAAACAGACAUUCUUGACCAUUAACACAUUCCUUGAGCUGCAAUGAAUCUUCUGUGCUGUGGCAGGCUUUAGAAUACCCUGGACCAUUCUUUGAGUCGUUGGGUGGUUUGAAGCUACCCAUUCAUUAAGAAUAAAGAGGCCGCCCUCUCCUUGAGGGUGGUGACUGAGGCAUUUAUGUCUUUGUCUCCUGAUUAGUAAAAACAGAAUCAUCCUUAGCCUACAGUAAGCAUUCUCAAAUAAUAAUUGAAUGGAUGAAUCCAAUCUAAAUAGCAUUUCAAUCAGCAGAACUUAGUUCCCCAGAUGCAACUUUUCAUUUCGCAAAAAAAAGGAAAAGAAACAGAGACUUGAUUUGCUUUUGGGAUUUUGGAAAGUUCAACAUUGGAAAGUAAAAUCCAGAGUAUCCAUUAUUUACUGCACCUGCCUGUUCUAGCCCAUCAAGCCUGGACAGCUUGCUUGCCUUUAAUUUUUUUCUGUAUUUCUGUUUCAAAGUAGCCACUGAUUACAUAUGAAAUGCCAGCCCUAGGCUUUGUGUUAUUCAAAUACUACUCUGCGAUCCUCCCUUGCGCCUACUUCUCCCACUGUGGGAGUACAGGAAAUGCUUGUUAAGUAGAUCAGCCUUGUUAAUCAGAAACCUGGGAAUAAGUGUUUAGCAUCUAAGUUCAAUUAAAGCUUUAAAGAGUGAUUCCUUAAAUCCAUUCUCUGUCUUUCCCAUUUUCAAGGUGCGAUUUGAAGUUAUUUUUGAAAAUGUCAUUUGAAAGGGUAAAUACGUCAUAAGAAAAAGAAGAACUUACUGAAGGAGUGAGUUUGAGUUCUGCUCUCUCCCGAUCUCCUUGUUCAAAGAACUCGCUGGUUACAAGUUCAGCCACCUGAAACACAGAAAUAUUUAAAUUGACAGGUAAUCUCCUUUGGCCACCACAAGGACUCUAGGAGCUCGGUAUGGGUGAUGUACCUGUUCCCAUGUUGCUGACAAGGAAACCAGGGCAAAGAGAGAUUAAGGGAGAAGCAGAAUGUUAGGUCUGUACCUCGCUUUGAAGGAUCAUCACUGCGUGGUUGAAAUGGUGAUGCUCUAAGGUAGCGGAAGUUCCAUAGAGCUGGGCCAGGGCAGAGCCACUCCUGAAAGAGGACAGAUGUGUGAGUGACCAAGGUCCUUCACCCGUCAACGAUCCCCCGACACUGGCUCUUUGGAUCAACGUGUUUCUCCUGCUUCCGCAAAGGACCAUGAGCAGAUACAUUCUCAGGCUGGAACGGAGAGCUAAGGAAGAAAGGUGCAUCUGGCCCUUGUUGCGCAUAUAGUCUGGUCAUGCCUUGUGCCAACCAGAACAGUGCCAUGGAGCACCCUUUUCUAGUGAGAAACUCUCCCAACAUCGGUUGCAAUUUGUCGCAGAAAGUGAUGGUGAGAGUGGCUAGCUCCUGCUUUGUUUCUGGAGGCGGUGCAUCAUGGUCUGCACGCCUGUUGUCAUGUAUGCAGCUACAGUGCGGGAAUCUGAGAAAGUGAUGCCAGAAAUUCUGCCUUCACGUCUCUUUUUGAACUUGGCUAUCAGAGGUACUGAAUGACGAGGAAUUUCCUGGAUAAUCCUGUUGAUUCUGAGAUCUGGCAGAUGGCGGACUAAGAGGGAGAGAAUCCGGUGAUGUACUGGAAAUUCCUAACGGUUCCAGAAAUUCCAAACCGAAGAAGGUCCUUGGCUCCAAAUGCUCCUCCAUGGAUGCUGGCAGCCGGCACUGCAGUGGAGCCUUCCACGGAUUGGCUGAGGUUAAGAGAGAGCAUGAUGGGCUUUUGUAGAGCUUUUCUUCUCCCCUUCAUCUUUCUCUUUCCUUGGAUUAGAAGAGCAAAGAAGACUGCUCAGACCAUUCCAAGAGGUUUGGAAGAACAUAGUUUCUCAAGGAAGUGCCUUCUCUAGAAGAAUCUGCACACCAUAUCCCUAAUCGUGUCAUCAUGUCUCAACUGAUCUAAACAUGACUUCAUACCUUAGAAGUGAUGUGAGCUUGGGGCCGAAAGGUAGCAUUUAGAGAAGCAUCAUUUAAUUCCUGGUGUUUCUUAAUUUCUGGUAUGCAGUGUUGCAGGGGCCCUGUCUGGGGCCUUUGUUUGGUAUAUUAUUAAAAUCAAAUUUACUGUAGCCAAAUAAUGCUCGUUGAGGGUUUCAUUGUAAAUGCCACAUACAAAGUGUGUUGGUCUUCUAAAGAAAGUCCCAAACUACAAUGCUGAUGGCUGGUCCAGCUGUGCUAGGCCAUCCUUCACAUGCGGUGUCUAUCAGUGAAACUUAGAUCUCCUAACAAGGACGGAAGGUUCUGUGAGAAGGGUGCCUCCGUCACCCUCCCAACUCAGCCCAUAUCCCAGCUGACUGGAUCAGAGUGGAUCAGAGUAGUAAGAGCAUUAAGCCCGCAAGUUUGGGCUUCACGGGCAUUUACAGCAAGUCCAGCGUGCUUUAUUUUGGGAUCUAUUUUUUUGCUUCAAGAUGGAAUGGCCACCUCUCAACAUGUAAAUCCUGGGGGCAGGCUGAUGGAUACCAACCUAUUCAAUUUGCUCCAAAGCAGUGAUUUUAGGCAGAGGACUUUCUCAAGCUUUAAGAUAGAAGUAGAUUUCAUUUGCUUACCAAGAGUGCUACGAACAAAUUUAUGCUUAAUGCCAUAUCCUAUCUUCCUUUUAAAAAAGAUCCUGUAUUUGCCAACCAGAGAUAGUGGGUAAUGAAAACACAAGGGGGAGAAGAACAGAUAUUCACACAAGCGCAACCUUCCAUUGCAGGAAAAAACCCUACUGGACAAACCAUAGCAUCUAGAUUUAACGGUCAGACUCCCUUGGUGUUUACAGAUAUGUUUGUCUGCCAAUAUUUGGGUCUGCUAGGCUGAAAACAAGGCACUUCAGUCCCAUUUUCAGGUCCAGACACCAGAACCUUACCAGCUGUUAGGGGACCACCAACCACCAGCACCAUGUUUACAUGUCUCCUUCACAAAAGCAUGCGAUAACAACACAAACCAGUUGUAGUCUGUCUGAUUUCCACAGGAGUUGGAUAGUUUUGAUCAAAUUUGCUUCUCUUUCUUCUCAAGAUAUUAGUCAAUUAUUGAUUUGGCAUUAAUUAAAUACUGAUUUAAGUCCACAAUAAUCCUUUCCUUAUCAAGCUCAGAGUUGGGAAGACCUUACAGUCUACACUUACGUACUUCUUUUACAACCAGAAGCUCCUGAAGGCACUUAUUAUCAAAUUGCAAAACCUAAGUCAUGUUUUGGACACAACUUGUCUCUGAUUCUCAAAUGAUAUUGCGAAUGCUUGUAAGUCUCAGAAUGGCAAGGCAGCAAAACUGGUACAAGUAUGUAUGUUUGAGUAGAUGAUGCAUGAAUUAUAAAAAAUGAAUUGAUUGUAAUCAAUUUUAUUUAGUUAUUUUUUAACGACCUCCUUGACUUAAUUUUUAACCUACUUGUUACCCUAAUUUUAUAAAAUCAUCUAUUUUGUAAAGUUAAAAGCAUAUGAAAAAUAGAAUUCUGUAUUGAGCCCCCAUGUACUCAUUACCUAACUUCAGGAGGAAGCCAUGUUCCGCUGUCUUGUUUCAGCUACCUCUUCACAUGCACGGUUUUGUUUGUUUGCUAGAAUAUUUCAAGGCAAACCUCUGGCAUCUGUCAAUACUCUUUAUUUCAUUCUCAAGAGGUCUUGAUGUGGUCAAAUAAAAAUCGGUCAAUAUAUCUCUGCUCUCAUAUUUCGAUAAAAUGUGUGAAAACAAAUACAAACAGUAAAAGGAAAAUUUCAGAGUAACUAUCUUAAGACUUUAAAAAUUGAGGUUUUUCCUUCAAUUUAGAUAAUACAAAAAACAAAGCUACAUGUAUGUAGCAUGCAUAUUGUAUUUCAAAAAGAGACAAAAGAAAAACCACAUUAGAUUCUUAAGGACUCAAUUUGUAAUACUAAGAAUAUAUGCGCUUUAUGAUUUUUUGGAUAAAGAUAGCAUGUUUUUUCACGUUUAGAAAUAUGUUUUAUAUUUUAUGAUAAAUUGAGAGUGAAUUGAAUACAACAUGCGGUGUGCGAGCACAGAAAAUGAAGCACAUCACCUGGUGCACAUUAAUUGUGCAGACAGACUGUCCUCUCCAAGUGCCACAAAAAAGCGAGGUUGAUGAAUUUCAAGAAUAUGAGGCCUCUUCAAAACUUACCCAAAUUUUUAUUACACAUCAUUGAGCUAAAAUUAAACACGAGACUAGUGAAAAAAACUUAAAAGUUCCCAGCUUGACACCCUUAGGUGCCAAGUUUCAGCCUCAAGAAGGUGCCGCUACUAAGUCAUAAACCAUGAAAAAUGACUGGGGCUCUACGCCUGGGUCUCCCUGACCUGGAGGAUUUGGCUGGCAUCAUAAAAUACAGAGUGACAGAUUAAGCAGUUUACCAACACCGUAAAAAUCUCAGGAAUAAAUUCACUGUAAUCAAAAAUCCUAUAUUGUAACUAGGCAGCCCCAGCCCUGAAACUACAUACAUUUCCUGACAAGCCUGUGUCCAUGGACAAGAGCUUAUAUUCUCCCCGAAACAACGGCACAAUUAUGUUCAUACACUUUUACAGUUUAUGUGUCCUAAGAAAAAUACUCAGCUCUGGCUGAUGGUGCGGGAGAAUUUAUUUUCACUAGAAAGGGAAUGACCCAUAACUCACGAAUGGCAGCGCUUAAAGUGAGUUAUGGAGGGUACUCUCCUGUGUGAGGAAAUGGAUUGCAUUAUCCUUCUGCCCAAUUGUUUGUUUGAUUAUUAGCACACCAGGUUCUUAAGUAUGUGCGGCUUUGCCUUUUUCCUUUUGUAAAAUAACUGUGGAAAAAGGGAAUGUCAGCUAGAAGCAUGGGGUACCUCACUGGAGCUCUGAGAGGUGGCCAGAGAGAAUAAAAAUAGAACCCUUCUUAAAGGAUUAAAAGCCAGAGUCUUAAAUGUAAUUUAAACACAGUAUUCAAAUUGAUUAGCUCCAUAGUGCCCAGUGCUGGUAUUCUGCAAAAGCAUUAAAAAUCACUCCUUUCCUAAAUUAAAAAUUUGCCUUCUUUGAAGUUACAUUGGAAUUCAAGAUAUACCUACAUGAUGAUUAAAGAAUUGGUAUUUCUUACAUACAGAUUUUAUUGUAUUAUUCUGAUAAUGCUGCUAUUUAUUUUAAAGUAAAUAUAACUAGUUACUACUUACAAGGAAAUGCAAUGUAAAGUGAUGUUUGAUGAUAAUAAAUACGAUUAUUGUUUGUUACUUUGUUACUGUGAGUUACAGAACAAGACCGCAGAUCUCUUUGUACCUUCCAACGUUAGGACCUACAAAGAAACUAGAUUUCCGUCAAGAUUAGGAUCCUGGUUAUUGAGCAAAAAUAUUUUAUUUGAAAAUUCAACUGGUUCUGUCCUUCUCUGGGUUGGAAGGGGAGGGAGAAUUACAACUGUGCUUCUAAGAUCUCCUUCCAGAAGGAAUUUUCUACCUCAAAAAUCAAGGACUUCAAUGCAAACGGCAGACAGAGGACAGCACAUUAUCCUCAAGCUAGUGAACAGGAAGGAUUUUUCUUCCUAAACGUCCCUUCUGCUCUGUAGUUUGAAUUAUCAAUAAAACGACUUGGCUUAUCUCUGAAAAUAACCUUGUUGACAACCCAAAUAUGGACUUAAACGCGCUACCUCCACAUUUAAGAUUUAAGAAGCCCCCAGUAAAUGUCAGGAGGUGUCAAUGUGUUUGCUGCAAUACUUGGUUAUUAUUAGUGUUUAACUGCAAUUCCCAACCAGCACCAGGCCGCCAGCACCACCAUAAAUUUUAAUGUGAUCAUGUGCUCAUCUCUUUUCAUAUCCAGUGAAUUCUACAAGAUCAUAAUAUUCUAUAUGAACCCUAGCUGAACCUUAGUGUGAUAGGAAGAAAGAACAAGAUUUCUAGCAAUGAUAGCUGUUCAUCAUUUUAUAGUUUUUUGAAAAACUGGACACUGAGCAGCACGGGUCCCUGAAUAAUAUGACCCUAAACUGAAUCCACUCAUUCAGUGAAUCUUUAUUGAGCCCUACAGGAUACUGGGCAUGGCCCAAAGUGCUAAUGAGUACAUUUAUGGGAUAGUGAAGAAUACCGACUCUUAAGGAAACCUGUUUUUCCCCCUGGAAAAUCUGUCAGAGAUCAUACAUCAUUUAUAAAACCGAAAAAUGCCCCUGCAACCUUGGCAUCACCACAUGCCUUUUUAUUUGACAGAAUACAAACAAAAGCGUGGUCGGUUCCUGUAUCUGGUCUACAUUGUGCAUGUAAGAAAUGUGCUUAUCGUCUUUCACUAUGUAUGUGCUUGCUGGAAUAUUUAUUCUACAAGCUUCUAUAAAUAAAGAAAAUUUGUAUAAUUA